CAGGGAAGCCUUUCAAGUUCUGAUUCAUUCUUCCAGUAAACGAGCUGGACUUCGCCUUCAAGUGGCCUUCCCAGCCUGUAAUUAUCCCAGCAGCAGGUUGCUGGCUUUGUUGCACUGAGGCGGCGGAAUGCUCUUUCUGCCCAAUCCAGGCUUGAGUCAUCAUCAUCUUUGGGGCGCGCAUGCUUGGGGCAGUUAUCGGAGCCCAUUGGGAGGAGGAGGAAGUCGGGGACCAGGAGCCCCUACCUGCACCGGCUUUGCAAUUAAUCCUUGGCUGGAAACUGCUCUAGAGUGUCCGGGUCAUUUUCAUUAGGGCCCGGGAAUCCCUGCCACGGUGGCCCCACAUGAACGAGAACUUAGCAGGCGAGACACUGAAUUCCAUAUUGAAUAAACAUUAAUUCAACCCUGACUGGACAGACUUUGGAACGGCGGUGGAAAGGAUGAGGGCGAAUGCAAAACUGCAGCUAAUCCCUGCCCGCCGGAGCUUUGCAUUCUAUUGACUUUCUUUUUCUUUCGUUUCCUGAUCUGCAGAUGACGAAAUUUUCUCAAAAAUGACUUCUGGCUCGAAAUCCUAGACUCUGGCUGCUUCCUUAGACCAACCUGCCCUCAUUCUGUUACGUUGAUUGCAGCCAACUCCUGGGGGGUGUUUCAGUUACUGAGAAGGGAGCAAGAAGAAGAGGGAGAUAAGGAGAGAGACUGACUGAAACAGAGAAAGGGAGAGGCAGAGAGACCAGGAGGGAGAGAGAGUGACAGGAGGAGAGUCGGAGAGAGGCACAGAGAUAGAGAUAGGAAGAGUCAAGGAGAGAGUCACUGACAGAGACCAGUAUGAGGUAAAGACAGAGAGACAGAGGUAGGGAGAGAGAGACAGAAAGAGAAUUAGAAACAAAGGCAGAGUCAGAAAAAGAUAGAGAGUAAGAGGCAUAGACAGCAGAAGAAAGAUAGGGACAAAAAUAGAGAGGGAGAGACAAAGAAGGAGAGAUAGAGAUAGGAAGAGUCAAGGAGAGAGUCACUGACAGAGACCAGACUGAGGUAAAGACAGAGAGACAGAGGUAGGGAGAGAGAGACAGAAA